AACGAACGCUGGCGGCAUGCCUAAUACAUGCAAGUCGAACGAAGGCCUGACUUCGGUUGGGUCCUUAGUGGCGCACGGGUGCGUAACGCGUGGGAAUCUGCCCCUUGGUUCGGAAUAACAGUUGGAAACGACUGCUAAUACCGGAUGAUGACGAAAGUCCAAAGAUUUAUCGCCAAGGGAUGAGCCCGCGUAGGAUUAGC
rnacentral:rRNA from 1 species